rnacentral:lncRNA from 1 species
GAGACAGAGGCAUCUCUGCACCACAAAGGAGACUGCGGCACUAUGCAGCCUGAACAGCACGACAAAGCAUCUGAUCUGCCUGCUUUGACAAGAUGUGGCUGGGCCUGCAGAAAGAGUGUAAGCACACUACUGUGUUGCUGAUCAGUGCUGGUGCUGAUCUCUACGUCUGAGUUGGCCUCACAACGUCCAGGCGCCACUGUGCUUUGCUUCAUUGACAAGGUGUGGCUGGGCCUGCAGAAAAGCUGUAAGCAGACUGCAGUGUUGCUGAUCAGUGCUGAUCUCCACGUCCGAGUUGGUCCCACAAUAUCCAGGCACCACGGUGCUUUCACAAGGUAA